rnacentral:rRNA from 1 species
UACAGAGGUCUCAAGCGUUGUUCGGAUUCAUUGGGCGUAAAGGGUGCGUAGGUGGCGCCGUAAGUCGGGUGUGAAAUUUCGGAGCUUAACUCCGAAACUGCAUUCGAUACUGCGGUGCUUGAGGACUGGAGAGGAGACUGGAAUUCAUGGUGUAGCAGUGAAAUGCGUAGAGAUCAUGAGGAAGACCAGUGGCGAAGGCGAGUCUCUGGACAGUUCCUGACACUGAGGCACGAAGGCCAGGGGAGCAAACGGG